rnacentral:lncRNA from 1 species
UCCUUUCGUUCUUUCCUCUCCUCUGUCAAAUCAUACACACAUACAUACAGUACAUACUAUCACAUCACAAAAGCAGAGAAGAAAAGGAAGAGGCAGACGACAUGCUUGCUAGAAGCUUGAAGGUGAGAUUCAUGGUUCUCCGUUAGCCUCUAAUUUGGCCGUUACGGUACAUGUCAGGGAGCUUUCUUCUUCCUCCUCCCCAUAACUCUAGGGCUUGAUUUGGCAAUCGCGAUACAAAUUAAGGUGUUGGUUUUAUCUUUUCAAAGUUUUACUUUUGAUUCGAACAUCACGGUACAAAUCAAGGUUCUUGUUUCAUCUAUUCCUAAUUUUUCGUCCUUGAUUCGACCAUCAUGGUACAAACCAAGAAACGUGUCACAUCGAUCCAUCGUAAAUAUCUUUGAUUCGGCCAUCGCAGUACGAGCCAAGGAAAAUGCAUGGUUUUUUAUAUCUUGCAUAUACUCCGUCCUAAUGAUCUUUUGGGUUCAGUCCCCUUAGCGAUACAAGCCAGGAUGAACUUCUCGUUCCUUGGUUUGGUCCCUAUACGUGGAUACAAAUCAAAAGUGUCAUAGGUAUGAAGACCUCGUAAAAAAAUGUUUUGG